rnacentral:rRNA from 1 species
UACGGGGGGGGUAAGCGUUGUUCGGAAUUACUGGGCGUAAAGCGCACGUAGGCGGUCCAGCAAGUCGGGUGUGAAAGCCCUCGGCUUAACCGAGGAAGUGCAUUCGAAACUACUGGACUUGAAUACUGAAGAGGAUCGCGGAAUUCCCGGUGUAGAGGUGAAAUUCGUAGAUAUCGGGAGGAACACCAGUGGCGAAGGCGACGAUCUGGGCAGAUAUUGACGCUGAGGUGCGAAAGCGUGGGGAGCAAACAGG